GGCCCUUUUAAUUUUUUACAUUGUUUUGUUUUUUAUUUGUUUAGUCCAACUCUAACUUUGGUUUGGCCCUUCAAGGUGUGUAUGUCCGUUUUUGUUUCUCAUCCCCGUUGCUCUCCAUAAUUUUUUUGUCCCAUCUUUUUAUGGUUAGGUUUUUUCUAUUCUGUUUUUCCCUUGUCGUUCUAGGUUUCGCUCUCCAUAUUAUUUUGCGGCAUCCCUUUCUGUCACUACUAGAGAACAGACCUUUCGUCGAUGUGCC
rnacentral:lncRNA from 1 species